rnacentral:tRNA from 1 species
UCGGGGAUGGUGUAACGGCAACACGUCGGACUUUGGCUCCGAAGAUGGGGGUUCGAGCCCUCCUCCCCGAG